UACGUAGGGUGCAAGCGUUGUCCGGAAUUAUUGGGCGUAAAGAGCUCGUAGGCGGUUCGUCGUGUCGGCUGUGAAAUCCCGAGGCUCAACCUCGGGUCUGCAGUCGAUACGGGCGGACUGGAGUUCGGCAGGGGAGACUGGAAUUCCUGGUGUAGCGGUGAAAUGCGCAGAUAUCAGGAGGAACACCGGUGGCGAAGGCGGGUCUCUGGGCCGAUACUGACGCUGAGGAGCGAAAGCGUGGGGAGCGAACAGG
rnacentral:rRNA from 1 species